rnacentral:lncRNA from 1 species
AGCUCACACAGCCAGCUAGAAGUAAGGAAGGACAAUGAAGCUGAGAAUAAAGGACAGUGGCAAUAAUAGAUACAACAAUGGGAGAAACAAGAGAGGCCAGGAUGGAGAAGAAAGAAAGAACUAUCAAACAAAAAGGGGAAAACGAAUAGGAAAGAAGUGGGGAUUGGACUGACAGAAUGAAACCAGGUGGGUUUACCCAUCUCCCUACAAAGAUCCUUAGCAAAAGGAUGAGGACUGGACAUAGAAGGGCAGGGGACGGUGUACUCACAUGAGUUCUCGGACCAUGUCCCGGGUGAUGAGCUGGAUG